UACGGAGGAUGCGAGCGUUAUCCGGAUUUAUUGGGUUUAAAGGGUGCGUAGGCGGGAUGCCAAGUCAGCGGUAAAAAUGCGGUGCUCAACGCCGUCGAGCCGUUGAAACUGGCGUUCUUGAGUGGGCGAGAAGUAUGCGGAAUGCGUGGUGUAGCGGUGAAAUGCAUAGAUAUCACGCAGAACCCCGAUUGCGAAGGCAGCAUACCGGCGCCCUACUGACGCUGAGGCACGAAAGUGCGGGGAUCAAACAGG
rnacentral:rRNA from 1 species